rnacentral:rRNA from 1 species
CCUACGGGAGGCAGCAGUGGGGAAUAUUGCACAAUGGAGGGAACUCUGAUGCAGCGACGCCGCGUGAGUGAAGAAGUACUUCGUUAUGUAAAGCUCUAUCAGCAGGGAAGAACGUGACGGUACCUCAAAAAGAAGCUCCGGCUAAAUACGUGACAGCAGCCGCCGUAAUACGGAUGGAGCAAGCGUUUUCCGGAUUUACUGGGUGUAAAGGGAGAGUAGGUGGCAGAGCAAGUCCGAAGUGAAAACCCAAAGCUCAACUAUGGGAAUGCUUUAGAAAAUGCCCAGCUAGAGUGCAGGAGAGGCAAGUGGAAUUCCUAGUGUAGCGGUGAAAUGCGUAGAUAUUAGGGGGAACAACAGUGGCGAAGGCGGCUUGCUGGACUGUAACUGACAGUGAGGCUCGAAAGCGUGGGGAGCAAACAGGAUUAGAAACCCCAGUAGUC